AUGAACAAAGCGCGAGAUCUCGCAACUUCCAAGCUCAACACCGCACUAAAAACCCCAAACAAACAAAGAAACAAAAAGAAACAAAACGACACUAAAAGAAAGAAAAACAAAACAAAGAAAAACAGUUGGGUUACCUCCCAACAAGUGCUAAAAUUAACGUCUAUAGCUUGACGAUACCUUCAAUCACGGAUCAAAGAAGUUGACCAUUUCCACGUCGCGGUCCAACUCUGCUUUGAAGUACGGUUUGAGGCGAUGGCCAUUAACAGUGAAAGUAGACCCAUUCGACGCAAGCAACUCAUAGGUCCCAUUCCAAUUGCUCUUGUGAACC
rnacentral:lncRNA from 1 species